UGGGGAAUAUUGGACAAUGGGGGCAACCCUGAUCCAGCCAUGCCGCGUGAGUGAUGAAGGCCUUCGGGUUGUAAAGCUCUUUUGGCGGGGACGAUGAUGACGGUACCCGCAGAAUAAGCCCCGGCUAACUUCGUGCCAGCAGCCGCGGUAAGACGAAGGGGGCUAGCGUUGUUCGGAAUUACUGGGCGUAAAGCGAGUGUAGGCGGUUGCCGUAGUCAGGUGUGAAAGCCUUGAGCUCAACUCAAGAAAUGCACUUGAUACUGGGUGACUAGAGGACCGGAGAGGAUAGUGGAAUUCCCAGUGUAGUGGUGAAAUACGUAGAGAUUGGGAAGAACACCAGUGGCGAAGGCGGCUAUCUGGACGGUUACUGACGCUAAGACUCGAAAGCGUGGGGAGCAAAACAGGAUUAGAUACCCUGGUAGUCCACGCCGUAAAACGAUGGGUGCUAGACGUUGGCGAACUUGCUCGUCAGUGUCGCAGCU
rnacentral:rRNA from 1 species